UACGUAGGGGGCAAGCGUUGUCCGGAUUUAUUGGGCGUAAAGAGCGUGUAGGCGGCCAUACAAGUCAGCUGUGAAAACUCGAGGCUCAACCUCGAGACGUCGGUUGAAACCGUAGGGCUAGAGUCCGGAAGAGGAGAGUGGAAUUCCCGGUGUAGCGGUGAAAUGCGCAGAUAUCGGGAGGAGCACCCGUGGCGAAGGCGGCUCUCUGGGACGGUACUGACGCUGAGACGCGAAAGCGUGGGGAGCGAACAGG
rnacentral:rRNA from 1 species